ensembl:lncRNA
GUUCGAGAGUGACUCUGCAAACCCACUCAGGCUGUUGUCGUUGUUGUUUUUCUUCACGAUAAAGUCUUUUUCAAUUCUUGCUCCGGACCCCUCGAUUUCUUUUACUCUCUCUCUCUUGAAUUAGUCUAAGUGUUUUAAAUCUCGAUUAAUCUACGACAUGAUGAGGCAAAUUGGAGUUUCCAGACAGGGAUACCCACCAUCACCCAGAAGGAUGUAGCCCGCUGGGGGAUACCGUCUUGCAGUAUAAAAAGUGCUAUUUUUCAUAACACGUGUAUCGUGGACAACAUAAAUGUCCAGAAACCUCCCAUUAGAGUCACAUAUUGCCUGCAUGUUUACUGAGUAAAAACCUUUGUAAUUCAAAUAGUCCAAUCUGUGACGCUGUGGUGGUUUGAUUCGGAUGUGGCUGCCGUCGAUAGCUCCAACCACAUUGUGGAAUGCAGGGGUUCCCGAAAUGUUAGCAAAUCCCUGACCAACUGCGGGCAGGUUCGCUGUUGGAGGAAAGCUGAUUGCUCUGCCCAGAUUGUCCCAGAUGUUCUGGGCCACUCUGUGGAUGAUGCGGUGAACUGUAGGCUUUGGCACGUUGAAGACACGGGACACCACCCGACCCAGCCAGUUUGACGGAUGACCACCCGACCAGAGGCUCCAUCAGUCGUUCCUUGUUGGUGUAGUUGUUCCAUUUUGUUGUCUGUACAAUUAAGAGUUUGUUCCGGACCACCUCUAUUUGAUUUCUGUUUUGAUGUUGUGCUACAUAAAGAUAAUUGAAUUGAUUGAAUUGAGUUCAUUAUUUUAUGUAACUAAAUUCUAAAACCUUUG